rnacentral:miRNA from 1 species
UGGCGGACUCUUCACAGUUUGA